GCAACCCUGGCCACCACUUGGCGCCCACCACGGUGACCUCUCACUCCGCUGGCAUGACUCGACGGUUUGUUGGACGGACCCGAGCUGAAGGGAGAAACAGAAGUCAGUUGUCAAGAAAUGUGACUUUCCAACCCGUCUAGACGCAGCAUGUGCUGUUGUCCUCGAGAGAGGACCAUCCCACUGCUGUCCUGUGUCAUGACUGCAGCAGAAUCCACAGGAGGGUGGAGAGCAAACUGGAACCGCUUCAGUGGCCAUUGAGGAGGACGAUGACUGGGCUGCUUUGAGGAGGUGGACUCAGGACCGGGGCAGAGUCCGUCUGGGUCCUGUGCUGGUCCCAGUCCAGAGGACUCCAGUGUCUCUAUUAGAAUCCCCGGAGCUGGGAGAUUCCCCGACACGGAUACCUUUUUGACUUUUUUUAAAGCUUAAUUUUACUACAUUGGAAUGUAGGUUUGUUAUUGAUGAUCCCUUUUGUACAUUUUAAUGAUAAGAGGAGACUAAAGCUGGAGUUACAGUUUGAUCUCAGCCUGUUUGAGGGUCAAGUAUCCUGAAUGGAGGGUUUGAAUUAAAUAUGUCAGACGACGUUUGAUUUAUAUCUUGACCCGUCAAAAAUAGAAAAUAAUGUUUCCGCCCGGUCUCGAACCGGGGACCUUUCGCGAUAGUAGUCCUUAACUUUCCUUAACUUUUCCCAUUCAUUCUCUAUGGUAGUUCUUAUCACUACCGAUGCGAUAUAACUUUGGCCACACGUGGGAUUUUGGGGGCGCUGUUUCCCCCCUGGACACGAGGCAAAGAGACCCGUAUGUUCCCCUUUGAGUGAGAGACGACCUGCAGCAGCACACGCACCUGAGGCUCGCGCAGCAUCUUUUCACAGUUCUUUUUCGGACCAACAGUUACACGCAAGUACGCCGCAUUUUGUUAAUGAAGUUACUUAAUGAACGGUUCUCAGUUGUAUAUGUUGGUCAACUGCUUCUGUAGUUUACUUUACUUGUGUUGGUUAGCAUUGUAACACUGUGUGUUGUUAGCACCGUACGGUUAGUAUUAAAUGGGACGUAUUUAAUGUAUAUUGUUGUGUGUGUAACGUGGUCAACAUCAACAGGAACUCAUUGGCUUGUCUUUAUGAAUAAUAUUAGUUUGAAUGGGUAAUUACUACAGUUCCCCACGUUUAAGAUGGGUUCAAGUUCUAUGACAAGCAGAAUAAAGAAUAAUAAGGUGGAAAACACUUAGUUUUUUUUGUCCGUCUGCCUAUAUCUGUGUAAUAAAUGAAGCUGUUACCUAGUUAUUACAAAUGCUCAUCACUGUUAACGUGAGGGACUCUGUCUAUGCGCUGCAUUGUGUUUUGCUGUGCACAGGAGAUGAGGAAGAAGACCACUAACUUCUUCCCAGGCAGGAAGACGGUGUCCUUCAGAAAGGGCCCAUCGGGUCAUCUGUGGCAGGAUCCCUCCGAUGAGGCCAUGAGGAUGAAAACCGAUCCCUCGCUUCAGGACAAGUGUCCUGCUCAUCUCCAGCAUCAUGUGAGCACCAAUGCUCUGACCGCGCUCCUUCAGCGGGGAGGAGAUGUGUCCGACCGGCAGGAGGUGAUGGGGGAGUACGGCCUGCAGUUUGGAAAAUACAAGGGGAAAUCAUUCAGAUGGCUCCUCGAAAACGACAUUGGCUACGUUAUCUACCUGAUAAACGGUAGAAGAAGAGGAGAGAGCCGGUAAUUUCAACCCCCAAGGAAACAGCAAGGACAGCCUGCUGUCAUUUCUGGACUAUGCCAGGAGCUUCCAGGAAGUUGAGGACCUGAGGGAGUACCUUUCCUCCAGGAAGCCGGCUUCACCUGUGGCUUCAGAAGGGGACACUGUUGUCGGCUUUGGAGUCAGGGCCAAGGACACCUGGGAGCACAUCUGGAAGAGCAGGGCUGACGGUUAUGCGGCCUUCAUUCUGGGAGUGAAGUGCAUCAAAAACAGCAAGAUGUCCAACCUGCAGCAGCAGAGGGCUGAGUCCGGCCCCCUGCAGCCACAUCCAGAACUCUAGGGCCCCCAGCAGCAGUCUCCAGAGCCCCGGAUGUGUCUUCACCAACAGGUUGUUCUCCACCCGUGUGGAGGGAGGAUUCGGUUUUCACCAGAGUCCUCCCUGCUAUUACUAUUCUUUGAAAUAGUUUGUUAUUGUGGCCGUGUUCUGGCCUGUUCUGAUGUGUUCUUACUCUCCUACUAACUGAAGGAUUUAACAUGUCGCCUAUGAUGGUAAGUGUUUUCCUUUUUUUGCAUGCUUUCUCUAGGCUGUCACUCCAGGAUGUGAACAAAAACCGUUCAUACAUGCCACAUCUUUGAUUGACAGGUUGUGUGCUAUAUAUUGCUAUUGUUUCUCUGCGUUACCUGACAAACAAAAAAGCAACUUAGAAUUAAAGUAAAGGGUAUUUUAAGUCUGAAAAAGCAGCAGGUAAAUAUACACUGAGAAGCAUUAACACACUUUGUGGAAGGAAAAUGACAAAGAGUUGUUGUUCCAGCCCACGGGACCAAGUCACCAGCUGCAGCGACUGUUUCCAGACCUGCUCAGCCAGAUGAGCCCCUUGUGGCUAACGCUUCAGUAAAAGCGAAGACUCUGCUGCCGGUCCCUCCUCAGCUGCUCGCCAUCGCCCCUCAGCUUGGGAAGGAAGAUCAGGACCCCAACGUGUUGAGGCCAAGUGUGUCGUGCUCCUAGCCUCGCAGGGUGUUAUAGAGUGUAUAUUAAUCAUGUAUUGAUAACAUCUGCUGUUAACAAUUAGUUUCUCACAUCUGUUGUUCAAACUUUGUUCCAAAGCACAUGCAAAGCCAGCGUCCCACACUUCUUCUGCAGAGCCGGGGAUACGAAGUGACCACACAUAUAUAUAUAUAUAUCUAGUUCUAGUAAUACUUUUUUAUUCAUUUCAUUUGUUUUACAUUCAUUCUUUGAGAGGAUUUUAAUUUUGUUCAUUUUAGAAUUCAGCUGUGUAUUUUCAAUAAAAUAUAUGAAAAUCAUCCCUUUGACUGUCUUCACUUUAGUGGAAUUAAUACAUGGAAAAAUAAAUAAUAAAAUAUUUAGAUAUGAUCAGCUGUAUACAAUAAACAUGUUGUGCCCUAAUAAAAGUACAUCUGAAGCAUA